rnacentral:lncRNA from 1 species
AUAAAAACCACAACAUUCUUAUAAUUGGAUCAUGAUCAAACAUGCACUAAAUAGAUAGAUAUUUAUUUCACCGAAAAGAAGAAUACUAAGAAAAGCGGUUUGAGAAAGCAGAAGAAAAAAAGAUGUAUAUAAGAAGAACAAUCGAGGAAAAAGAAGAAGAAUGAAAAAAAAAAAGAUUUCUUAUCUUAAGAAAAGUCAAAUUUCUUGUUUAGAAUUUGAAAAAAAAAGUUGAUGGAAUGGUUAUGUUGUAGUGUAUUUUGUUGAAAGGAAAAAUGUGAUAUAGAUGGAGACAAAUAUAAAGUGCAUUGGUUAAAACAAUUCUAACUAUAUAAUUCAAGAAUCAAUUACAAUAAUAAUGUAUUUUAUUUGUAUAAUUUAUGUUAGAAGUAAUUCAUAUUCAGAAAUAUUGUUCU